AUAUGUAAAUAUGUGUGUAAGGUUUACAUACUUUGCUAUGUAUUUGUACAUACAUAUGUAUUUAUUCAUACAUAGUAAAUAGUAACUUUGUACGUGUAUCAAAGUUGUUAGUUGUUAUUACUAAAGAUAUUUCCAAACAAUAUUGCACCACUAUUAUCAUCGCCAUACUCAUCAAAUUCAAGUCCAUCAUUAGCGUUUGGCGGAACAAACGCACUGUUAAAUGCAUCUUCCAGUUGCUCCUCUAAACCCAUACUAGUGGCGAUUCCGUAAAUUAGGCGCAUUAAUACGAGUCUAAUAAAGUUUGGUGUGUUUGUAUCUUUGCCUUUGUUAAUAGACAGUUUCUUAGGAUCUUCAAAAACAAGUUGGCUUUCUUUAUUAUUCGAAAUUGUGUUAAGCGACUUUUCUUUAAUUAUAUUUUGACUUAAAGUUGCUAUACACGAAAUUAUAACUGUGACUACAGCAACCCAACUAUGUAUGAAAUUCAUGUUACUACCCUGCACUUCCACAAUUGAGUAUAAGCGCCCAAUCAUCACGAAGUCGACUGCGACGUCAGCAGAGCAGCCAGCGACGCCGGCAGAGCUGAGCGCAACUGCGGCAAAGAGACGCGCUCUCAGUUGGGGUCCGCAAAGAGAACGCACAAAAAGUACUUUUAAGCUCUCCGUCUCUCGCCAUGUCUGAGCUGGAAAAUUGCGGGUGAAGGCAAGGAGGCUCCGCAAUUAAAAUAUAUACCCUUUUGUGCACCCUUGCCUUUUAAAUAAUGCGACUUUUUUUUGAUAAUGUUAAAACAACCAAUUAAAAUUAUAGGUUUGGGUUUUAAAAUAUUUGUAUUUCUUAAAAAAAUUUAUAUGUUCAUAAUAUUAUUUAUUAAUACGUGAAGUUUUAAAAAUACAGUUUUAUAUAACGAUUUGCAUAGUCGGCUAUGUCUAUAAAUACCUUGCUUUUAUGUACGAGGGGACAUGCCAAAAAAUAGAACAACAACGGAUUAGCGGAACCGUUGUUGUUGUUGCUUGUUGUUUUUCUGGAAGGCACGUGCCUUUUUUCAUGUAUUUUACUUGCGUUUACUUAUGUGAAGGAGUUACAAUUACCCGCAAUUAACGUAGUUAAAUAAAAAAAGCCAAUGGUUUAAAAGUGAUACCUAUACGAUUCCCAGAUGCAAUCGCUCUGGUGGAUCCCUCGGAGCCUCCCGAAAAGGCGCUGCAGAAGGCAACGCGGUGCGUGAAGAAUUUGAGCUGCACCAAGAAAAAAGGCAACGCCGGCCCCAGAUGCUGGCGAGGAGGUCCCAACGACUCCGUUAGGACCGGGAACCCCCGAGCCAACAUUUUAAAAUAAAGAUCUAAACAAAUAAAAAAUAUAGAAAUUAAAUACAACUGUAAAUAUAUUUGCUGCUACGCGAUGAAAAGAAAGGGUAUAGGUGCAGUGGCACGCGCCAACAGCGAAGAGAAAAC